AAAUGGUGUCAUUGUUAUAAGCUGCUAAGUUUGGGGAAGUUUGUUACACAGUAAUAGUAAAUGGAACCCCUACGUUAUCUCAUUCAGCCUGUGUGAUAACCUUUCAAACUAGGUAUUAUUGUCAUAGCUACCUUACAGAUGAGGAAACACGCAAAGAAUUUUAAGUUAUUUGGCUGAAAUCUCACAGUUGGUAUGUGGCAGGGCCGAGCUGCAAGCCCAGGUCUGUCUUGCUCUGUGUGCAGGUUCUGAGUCAGAUCCUAUCCAGCCUUGGCUACACAUCCCAUUCAUGUGCUACAGUCCCCAGUGGGUCUGCACCCCUGCCUAGCAUAUCUGCUAGAUUACACAUGGACAUCUGUAAACAAAGACGGCCUCUGGAUUUUUCACUGUGUCGCCCCAUUCCCUUCCCCACCCCAAUUAAUCUGCCAUCUCAAGGUUUAGAAGGACAGCAAUUGAGGGAAGGAGGGGACAGAGACAAAGGAAGAAGAUGGGGAUGGAGAGAGAAGGAAAAGGUGUCCACAUGGAACACUGGGAAAAGGGCAUCCAUGUUUCACACUCUCAUGGUCCAUUUGAUUAAAUAAAUGUCCACUGACUGAA